rnacentral:lncRNA from 1 species
GAGAAUAUAGUGUUACCAGCGGAUGACAAUCUGGCUGUUCAGGAUCCCAUUCAUGAGGAUGCUCAAGUAAUUGAUGGCACAGAUUCCUCUGACUGUGAAAAUGCUCCUCCAGCACUGUUGGUUAAUGAUCCAGUUGAGGUGGAAGUUUUCAUACCUCAGGACAAUGGGCUUCCUAUGCAUAUGAUACAGGAUGAAGUUAAUGAGGAUGAGUUGAUGGUUGGUGGUCAUGAUCUUGCAAUUCAACCUGAA